rnacentral:rRNA from 2 species
UGGGGAAUAUUGGACAAUGGGCGCAAGCCUGAUCCAGCCAUGCCGCGUGAGUGAUGAAGGCCCUAGGGUUGUAAAGCUCUUUCGACGGGGACGAUAAUGACGGUACCCGUAUAAGAAGCCCCGGCUAACUUCGUGCCAGCAGCCGCGGUAAUACGAAGGGGGCUAGCGUUGCUCGGAAUCACUGGGCGUAAAGCGCACGUAGGCGGACUUUUAAGUCGGAGGUGAAAUCCCAAGGCUCAACCUUGGAACUGCCUUCGAUACUGGGAGUCUCGAGUCCGGAAGAGGUGAGUGGAACUCCGAGUGUAGAGGUGAAAUUCGUAGAUAUUCGGAAGAACACCAGUGGCGAAGGCGGCUCACUGGUCCGGUACUGACGCUGAGGUGCGAAAGCGUGGGGAGCAAACAGG